CCUUGAGCUCAUGGCGAUCCUUCUGCCUCAGCCUCCAGAAUGCUGGGGUCACCGGCGUGUUCCACCAUGCCCGGCAACAGCUACUUACCGAGCCAUCUACUCUGCGUCAUGUACUGAGCAGGCUCUUGGAAUACAGGGAAAGAUAACAAGGUUCCUCACUGGCUGAGCACACUUCCAAGUGGAAGUCAUGUUUGAAAACGGAAGCGGAGACUGCGGAGGUGGGAAGCAACGGGGAGGGGCAGGGGAGCGAAGAGCAUCAACCUGAGGGUGUGCGGUUCCCACGGCCCUGGCCAGCUCAACGGGCCAGAAGUCUCUCCUUCCUGCCCCGAGGCGUCGGAAAGAAAGACUGCGGCGCCCCCUGGCGGUCUCCUUACACUGCUCUCCCGCCCGGGUCCUCGCACGCACGGCCUUCUCCCAAGCGCUGGCCUGCACCCAUGGCGUCCUCUGGCGGCCGCACCGUGAGACCCACAGGUUUUCCUGGAGCCAGGCAUGGGAGGAGCCCAGCCGUUCUGCGGGCUGACCUGGGCCCACCUGUACGCGCCGGGGGACCCUUCCUUCACUCUUACACUGGGCAGCACUCCACGCUGGGCACUGCUUAUCCCGACAUCUCAGGGGCUUCUCCAAUCUUUAAACAGUCUGUAAACACAGAAGCUGAGUUUAUCCUAAAGCCCUGCCCAUACUAGCUGUGCUUGUCUCCUCUCUCCCUGCCCUUCCAUUGGUACUGGGAAUUGAAUCCAGGACCUUCACAGCGAGCUACAUCCCCAGCUCUUUUAUUUUGAGACAGAGUCUCGAUAAGUUGCCC
rnacentral:lncRNA from 1 species